UACGGAGGGGGCUAGCGUUGUUCGGAAUUACUGGGCGUAAAGCGCGCGUAAGCGGCUUUGUAAGUUAGAGGUGAAAGCCCGGAGCUUAACUCCGGAACUGCCUUUAAGACUGCAUCGCUAGAAUCGUGGAGAGGUGAGUGGAAUUCCGAGUGUAGAGGUGAAAUUCGUAGAUAUUCGGAAGAACACCAGUGGCGAAGGCGACUCACUGGACACGUAUUGACGCUGAGGUGCGAAAGCGUGGGGAGCAAACAGG
rnacentral:rRNA from 1 species